rnacentral:rRNA from 1 species
AUUGAACGCUGGCGGCAUGCUUUACACAUGCAAGUCGAACGGCAGCGCGGGCUUCGGCCUGGCGGCGAGUGGCGAACGGGUGAGUAAUACAUCGGAACGUGCCCAGCAGUGGGGGAUAGCUCGGCGAAAGCCGGAUUAAUACCGCAUACGACCUGAGGGUGAAAGCGGGGGAUCUUCGGACCUCGCGCUAUUGGAGGGGCCGAUGGCAGAUUAGCUAGUUGGUGGGGGAAAGGCCUACCAAGGCGACGAUCUGUAGCUGGUCUGAGAGGACGACCAGCCACACUGGGACUGAGACACGGCCCAGACUCCUACGGGAGGCAGCAGUGGGGAAUUUUGGACAAUGGGCGAAAGCCUGAUCCAGCAAUGCCGCGUGUGUGAUGAAGGCCUUCGGGUUGUAAAGCACUUUUGGCGGGAACGAAAAGGACUGUGCCAAUACCACGGUUCGAUGACGGUACCCGCAGAAUAAGCACCGGCUAACUACGU